rnacentral:rRNA from 1 species
UACGAAGGGGGCUAGCGUUGCUCGGAAUCACUGGGCGUAAAGCGCACGUAGGCGGCUUUCUAAGUCAGGGGUGAAAUCCUGGAGCUCAACUCCAGAACUGCCCUUGAUACUGGAGAGCUUGAGUCCGGGAGAGGUGAGUGGAACUCCGAGUGUAGAGGUGAAAUUCGUAGAUAUUCGGAAGAACACCAGUGGCGAAGGCGGCUAUCUGGACCAACACUGACACUGAGGCACGAAAGCGUGGGUAGCAAACAGG